GGGUCAGCGCUCUGACGAAGAUGG
rnacentral:siRNA from 1 species